GUUUAACUAAAAAUGGCUGCCCCCAUCAACUUGUGCCUUGUAUGGGCAAUCUUUUUCUUCUGCAAUUGCAAUUCUUUGCCAUCUUUCCCAUCCAUCCUCAUCUUUGGCGAUUCGCUGGUGGACACUGGCAACAACAACUACAUCAAGACAAUUCUCAAGGCUAAAUAUCUCCCCUAUGGUCAAGAUUAUCCAGGCAAUCUUCCUACUGGAAGGUUUUCCAAUGGGAAACUCAUUCCUGACAUUUUGGCUUCUGCUCUUGGGAUCAAAGAUUCUGUUCCACCAUUCUUGGAUCCAACACUUUCAGAGCAUGACCUCAUUACUGGUGUUAAUUUCGCAUCAGCUGGUGCUGGAUUUGAUGAUUUAACAACUACUCUGUCCAACGCUAUCCAAGUUUCAAAGCAAAUUGAAUUGUUUAAGGUGUAUGUAGAGAAGCUUAAGGGAAUUGUUGGAGAAGGAAAAGCCAAGGAGAUCAUUAAUGGUGCUUUGGUGAUUCUAAAUGCUGGAACAAAUGACUGGCUUCUUAACUACUAUGACAUCCCUACAAGAAAGCUGCAGUUCAAUGCAACUGGGUACCGAGAUUUUCUUUUGAACGAUAAGCUUCAAAUCUUUAUUACGGAAUUGUAUGAACUUGGUUGCCGUCGGAUGGUUGUAAGUGGGCUUCCUCCAAUUGGCGUGAUACCUUUUCAAAUGAAGACUGUAAAACUUGAGAACCCAUUAGCAGGGGAAAGCUGGUUGGAGGAUCAGAAUAGAGAUUCCGGAGUUUACAAUGAAGAGCUUGUCAAGCUAUUAACUCGAUUACAGGCGACUCUUCCUGGUACCAAACUUGUCUAUAACGACUUGUAUGAACCAGUAAUGGACAUGAUUACUCAACCCGAUAAGUAUGGUUAUGUGGAAACGAAGAAGGGGUGCUGUAAAAGUACGAUAUUGCUGUGCCAUCCGCUUGCCUCAACAUGUAAAAGCCCUUCUAAGUUCCUGUUUUGGGAUAUGAUUCACCCAACUUUUACAUCCAACCAAUACCUUGUUAAAUAUAUAUUGAAGAAUGUUAUUCCCAAGUUCUUGUAGAAUUAAUCACAGCCAUGCCUGAGGCUGACGGUUCUAUCAAUAAAUAUUUUAUUAAUAAUUUGUUUAUUCAAACAACGUAACUUGCUGCAGCAUAUGCCUUAAUUGUAUCGUAUAUUAUUAAAUUAUGUCCAAAUUAAAAUUUG
rnacentral:misc_RNA from 1 species